rnacentral:rRNA from 1 species
GACGAACGCUGGCGGCGUGCCUAAUACAUGCAAGUAGAACGCACAGUUUAUACCGUAGCUUGCUACACCAUAGACUGUGAGUUGCGAACGGGUGAGUAACGCGUAGGUAACCUGCCUGGUAGCUGGGGAUAACUAUUGGAAACGAUAGCUAAUACCGCAUAAUAUUGAUUAUUGCAUGAUAAUUAAUUGUAAGUUGCAAUUGCACCACUACCAGAUGGACCUGCGUUGUAUUAGCUAGUAGGUGAGGUAACGGCUCACCUAGGCGACGAUACAUAGCCGAACUGAGAGGGUGAUCGGCCACACUGGGACUGAGACACGGCCCAGACUCCUACGGGAGGCAGCAGUAGGGAAUCUUCGGCAAUGGACGAAAGUCUGACCGAGAAACGCCGCGUGAGUGAAGAAGGGUUUCGGAACGUAAAGCACUGUUGUAAGAGAAGAAAGGGUGUGAGAGUGGAAAGUUCACACUGUGACGGUAUCUUACCAGAAAGGGACGGCUAACUACGUG